rnacentral:lncRNA from 1 species
CCCACCCCCACACCUGACUGCCACGGUGGAUUUUAUCUUUGUGGAGCAACCUCCAGGCACUCCCUGGGUCUAAGGGGAGCACUGCAAAGGGACUAUAAGAUCCCUGGAAGAAGUGAACUGUGUGUGCUGGGCAUGGAGGUUUAUGUCUGUAAUCCUAGCACUUGGGAGGCCAAGGUGGGAGGCUGGCUUGAGCCCAGGAGUUCAGGACCAGCCUGGGCAACAUAGUGGGACCCUGUCUCUAUCAAAAAAACAACAACAAAAAAAGCAGGCCUUGGCCCCUUGGCUGAACUGCACCAGCUUCUUGUUUUUAUUAUUUUAAAAUUUAUUUUAUUUAUUUAUUUUUUAAAGGCUAGUCAAGUGAAGCAGUGGGGGUGGAAAAGGAACAAAGAAAUUUGUAACUGGUUGUGAUCAGUUAUUUGUAAAUACCACUGCACUUGGACCAGCCAAGCUUCUUGGCAUAGUUCUGCUUGUAGCUCUUGCAUUCCCUCUGCUGAUAAGCCUUCAGCCUCUCGAAAAGGGUUGACAAUUUCUUGAUCAACUUUCAUGUCCUUUCUCCACUACAUUUCUGCUUCAAAUAUCCAAGAUGUUCUU